rnacentral:lncRNA from 1 species
ACCAAUCAACGGAACGGGACAAGAAGAUACAAUCGAGAAGACGAGCGGUCCAGAUCGAGAAGAAGAUGAAGACGAAGUGCCCGACUCGCUUGAAGCGCCUGACGCGGAUCGAGAUCUCCACCAACCCAAGGGACAGCAGACGUAUCCAGAUCACCAAACGGAACAAGAAGACAAGGCGCAUGAACCGGAGCGACAAGAAGACAGAGCAGUACCUGAAUCGUUCGAAGCACCUCAAUCGGAAGGAGAUCUCCACCAACCCGAGGAACAGCAGACGGAUCCACAUCACCAAACUGAACAAGAAGACCAAGCGCAUGAAUUGGAGCAACAAGAGGACAGAGCAGUACCUGAACCGGAUGGAGAAGAUAUCCACCACCCCGAAGACAAGACAAAACCCGGCGAGAUUUCAGAUCAAAUUCCCCGUCGAUCCGGCGACAAAGCAGAGGAAGCAGCUGACGAAGUCCCGCAGACGGAUAAGCCGAUCGAAGCCCCA